AGGGCGGGCCUUUCAGGCAUCCUCUCCUAAAAACUUUCAUGGGCUGGCUCUUCGGAGCCGGCCCUUUUUUCUGUCUGUA
rnacentral:sRNA from 1 species